GCGGGCUUCAUCUAUGCCUGUUAUGUUGUGAAAUGUAUUACUGAAGAAGAGGACAGCUUUGAUUUCAUAGGUGGAUUUGACUCUUACGGCUAUCAAGGUCCACAGAAGACAUCUCAUUUACAGCUACAGCCCAUGUAUAUGUCAAAGUAAACAAAGGGGCUACUCAACGUGGGCUGGAGGACCUGUCAGAGAAACUGUUUCAGGAUGACCCCUGGUUCUUCAAAAAAAUCCAGUUUUUAUGCUAAAAUAAUUAAAAUAGCUGAUUGAACAGUGAGACAAAAAGCAACAGACGCCUUCGGCCCCUCUUUCUAACAGGUACUAAGGGAGAUGCCCCAGACCCCCACCUUGGACAUCCUUCCUCCCAGCACCAGAGGGCCAGAGCAGAGGCGUUGGUGUCAUCUUCUGGCUCUUCCUUACCCAGGCUGCCCCCGGUGCAGCCCGUCUGGAUUAAGACAUGAACCCAGCCCAUUUGGUGCUUUCGGAGCCCACUCUGCACUCCUGGCUGCAUCGAGUCUCCUUAGUCAACACACCACUAAAAAUACCAGGAUGACCUUGCAGCAGAAGUCAAUAGACAGCACGUUGUUUGCCCUGAAGGCUGUACAGUUCAUACUUGCCUUAACCCAACUGCAUUGCACAUCAGAGAAACUCCGUGCAAGCUUUCUGAAGUAACAUCCUUUAGGCUCAACAUGCUGCUGUUAAUUCGGAACGAUUUCUAAGUCAGUGGUUUUCUUCUGUUUGGUUUUGUUUUGUUUUCAUGUCAGGGAAUAAGGCUCUGUUGCUCCACAGCUCCAGAGCGACCAAGUAGAAAACUGCCAGCUGUCUGAGAAGUGCUUUACUUUUGAGGCUCCACAGUGGUCAAGAAACAAACAGUUUAUAAUGGUUAAGAAAAAAAAAAAAAAAAAAAAAAAGAGACCUUUUGGGGGUUGGGGUGGGGAAAAGGGUAACAUAAACUAAUAAUUGAACCUACUGGAAAUAAGCAGCAGAAACAGUGCUUCUUAAUCCCGCUGUUUUUAUUUAUCGCACUGUAGGUGCUUUUAUAGCUAUCUCUAAAUGUCUUUUACUAACUACAGAGACAUCUGCAGAUUUCUAUCAACAAAGGCCAACUGAAUAUGUACUAGCUACGUUUACUCUUUUAUAUCUAAUUUCAACUGAAAAUUCUCUGUAAGUGAGCUUUUUUUUCUAAUUGAACCAUAAGGGAUCCAUAUAUUUUAUUUUAUGGUUUCAGUUAGGGAGGGCAGGGAGGGGCUAGUUGAGUUGAAGAAUAUUGAAGACCUUUUUGUGGUAUAUUUGGGGGAUCUGUUGUGUGUUAGAACGUGUACUUUAUCUUCCUGUAUUAUCGUGGCUGAAAAAAAAAACUGUGCUGUUACGUAGUUGGCAACAAGAUGCCUUUGGGAAUUUUGCUAGUAGGUCAAUGUGUAUAUGAAAUACUCUGAACUCCUAGGAACAUAUGUUUUGUUCUACAUCUGAUCUGUAUUUUCAAGCACUUAGGUGGCUUUCAUUAGGAAAAACCCGAUAUUUUGCUCAGGCUUUUAAGAAACUUGGAUUGUCAUUGUUUCUUUGCUCAGACCUUGCAUAGGCGAACGCACGCACCUCCCACACCUGAGGUGACCACCUAGCUUUUGAGGGCAAGGGGGAAGGUCAGUGCUUGGAAAGACUUGAGCUGCCCCCGGGCAUCUCCCUCUUCCUUGCUGACCAGACCCUCAUGCCUGCACAGCUCCCACUCAUCCAUCCCUGUACAAACCUGUGCCCUUUGCUGUCUCUGCAUGGAUGUACAGUCUCACAAGCAACAACUCUGGACAAUGACAGAGGAACAGGCAUUCACCAGUGAAAACAAGAUACGGGACAUGUUCAGGAACUAUGCUUGCAUUUAUUCAGAGCGAUUUAUAUAUAUAUAUAUAUAUGUAAGAGUGUGUGUGUGUAUGUCUCUGUAUAUAAAAUACACAGGAAUAGCUAUUGACAGGGGCUGCAUAACCCAGGAAGCCAAGGAUAAAGGGGGCCAAGGGCUCCAGCCCCAGACCCUGCUGGAUCCUGUGUGAAUCAGGCACGUGCCCCAGGCUGGCUCCCAUAAAGCAUUCAUGGCAAGUUUGCAUCUCAAAUUUAAAUUUUCAUACUUGGGUACCAGAACUUCUGAAUUUGUUCUGAGUAGAGCUGCUUUUCACUCCCUGGGAAAUCAUGCACCUUCCAAGAGCCAGGCUGAAAUUUCCCAUAACUUAAAAAACUGGAAAAGUUCCCUCUCCACAUGAUAUUAAGUAUAGCAGAUGUACAGUAUUAAACACAAUGUAGAGGCUUAACUGGACUGAAAAUGUCAUAACAGGGUAUUUUGGUUUUCCCUGUAUAAUGGUUAAGCAAAAUCAUAUUUCUAUAAAGAUGAUUUUUUUUAAACCCUAAAAGAAACCAGUUUAGGCACCUAAGCAGUGACCCAAUUUUCAGAAGAUAAUUCUUCAUACGUUUCAGUGAUUUCCCACUACAGCAGCUGCUGGUAGUUAGCAAUUUUAGAAGUCAGACAAUUUAGUGAAGUGUCUACAUGUAGCUUUUAGGCCUGAUUUUAAUUUAGAAAAUUUUGGCCUUAACUUCUCUGUGUCUUAGUCUUCCCACCUGUAAAACGGGAAUAAUAUGUGCCUCACAGGCUUUUUGUGAGGUCUAAAUUGUUAAUGUUUGUAAUGCGCUUAGGAAAUAGGAAGCACAUCUAACUAUUAAGUGCUACAAUAUACAGGCGUAUUCAUAUAUUACAUAUAGAGUAGAUAUACACACACUCACAUACAUGCAGUAUACAUAUAUAUAUACAUACAUACCUGUAUGAAGUUGGUAUUCAUAAUCUUGCUUAAGUUGCAGUUAAAGCACCACCAUUAAAAGGAAAUUAGGACUGUUGACUACUAAAUGAUUAGUGGACAGAUCUCUUCUGGAAGCAGUUUAGAGCACAGUGAUGUGAGAAUAUCUGGAUGACAUUUUUGAUUUGUACAGCUGUAUCCUCCUCAAAAUCCAGUAAAGAAUGUUAUUUUUCUAAGCUGGGCUUUUGUUAUAAACUUAAAUAUUCAGAAGGCAAGAGAUACAAUCCAAAUGUGUCUUUUUUUUUCUUUUCUUUUUUGGCAUUUGUUAAUUCUGAAUGUAUUUUUAACAAAAGUGAUUUUUUUGACUUACUAGUGUAAUUUGCAUUUUAAAAAAAUAAAUGGAAAAAAUAUAGGUUUCCAAGCUAUUCAUGCCCCCCUGCUGCUAUUCACAACUUUCAGGAAACUCAGAAUUACUGCUCCCAACUGAGCAACAAUGCAGGAUAAAGAAUGCUAUUACAUUUACAUGAUGACAAUCCUGAUCUGUGCAGUGCACGGAUGUGACAGCAUUGAAUAGAAAUCGCCAGGUCACGACACCAUUUUAGCUCUGUCAUAGGUAGCAGGUAUUUUCAUUAUCACUGACACUAAAAGGUUUCUUUUACAAGGCUGAAUGCAAUAGACUCUUCACUUAGAAAAUGGGGAUUUUUGCCCACUCAUCAGGAAUUUUAAGCCUAUGAUAGGUUUACAGUUGCCAGCAGUGUUAAGUAUUGCAAAAGUAAUCCUUGUUAAGAGGGAGCUAUGUAACAUGGAUAUUGCCACUGCAUUAAUAUUCUUUUAUAAGCUGUUCAUUGUCCCUAUGCUGAAAUGAUGAAAUCCUGUCUUAGGCAACGUUUUUAUAGUGCUCACAUAUAUUGACAGCUUGCCUGAGAUCCUUUAAUAAAGGUGGAGCAGAACGGUUUACAUUUGCAGAUACUCAGUUGUGCUAUCCUAAAACUAGUCCUAAGAAAGAGCGUUCAUUAAUUAUUGUUAUUAGGAUUUUUAAUGCCAUAAUUAUAGUGUGAGUGACACUUUUCAGUCAGGUAAGGAGAAACGGUUUGUGCUCCACUUGCUGAAUUAUAGUACUGGUUGCAAUACUCAACUGCCAUAUAGCAUUUUGACAAAGGCGAGUGCAGUAUCUAUUGAUCCCUGGAUGUCUCCAGAAAGGAGUGGCUACUAACUCAGUGUCUGAAGGUUUUGAUCAUUUGCACUCUCCCCCUCCAUUUGAGCACACUGAUAGUAAGCAAAACAAAAACCCAUACACCGUGAAUUCUUCCAGCUUGUAAUAUAUUUAUAUCCAGUCCUCUGUGUCCUUUUUCAGCGCAAUUACUCAGAGGAUGAGGGUUUUUCUCACAAAGGUGGAAAGCCCCAUGAAUGUUCAAUGUGUAGGUAUUGCUUGCUUUCUUUCUCCUGAUGAGUCUCUUCAAUAUAGCUGAUACAAAAUUGACAGACUUCUUGAGUUUUUCUAGCUAAUCUGAAUCUGGUUUCUUCACAGUGCAUGUGGACUGGGGCCAGGCACCAAAGGUGAGACAGACAGGUUUUAUUGAAAAGCUGAUGCAUAGAAAUACUGCAGACAGCACCGUGUCCACUGCUGCUUGGAGAAAGACGUAUACUGUUGUUAUGUUAAUCAGUCCGCUCCAAGCUACGUGCAAUAUAAAAUGUAAUCACCAUGCACAAAAGAAACUGCCCUUCAGACUGCAGCUAUUCAUUCAGGUAUAGAAUUGGCACAACACAGAAAGAGCCAGCAAAAGACGUUUCCUUCCUGUAGCGACUAAUAUGCUUCAUUCCCAGCCAUGGACUGGAGAAAUCAUCUCUCUUUGGUCUCAUGUCCUGACAAUUCCCUUCUUUUCAGACCUUCACCAAGAGGGGCAAUUACAGCCAGUUGGAGAUGUGACUUUUGCAUAGCUGAGUGGGACAGGAAAAAAGAUAUUUUACCAAAUGUGGCGUUUUCAUACCUUUGUUGCGCAUCUCUCUCUGCAUGUACGAAAGAAGGCUCUUUUAAAAUGCACUCUUCCUUUAUCUCUCAGAAACCAAGACAGAUAAUGUCUUUUACAAGUGUCUUCCAAAUCAUGCAAAGAUCAUUUAAGAGUUUUUUAAUGAGGUCCUAUCAAAACACCACCUUUCCUGCUCUCUGUUCAGUAGUAGACAGAUCUUGGGAUUUCCAAAUGCCUUGAGAUUAUUAAUUUGGAUAGAUAGGAGCACUGUGAAACCUAAGAAUUUUUAAAAACUGCUUGUGGUCAUCUCUGAUUCAAAAAUGAAUGUCCCAUUCAAAGGCCAGACUUCUAUAGUCAUCAGUAGAAGAGGAUCUUUGCUGCCAUCUGUUACCUAACCAUUUUCGUAUCCCCACCAUCAUCUUACUGGGAAAUAAGUUAUAUGGACCUAAAUGUGAAGAAGCAUGUUCAUACUCAGCAGUCUUCUGUUCUGCCACACAGAAUGCUAUUCCAUACAUAUUUCAUUUCUUUCUCCCUGUCACCAUCUUCUUGUCCCGUUCUCACUCUCCCCUCUGCCUGAACAUAACUCCAAAUACCCUUCCCAAAUUGCGUACUGUUCUUUGUCACAUCCAUUGUUUCAAACUGUUCAGAUAAUGACUGUGAUACCAGCCGUGGAGGACAGUAUCACUGUGGAUAUGUGCAAAGAAGAGGAAGCACAAAGGUUAUGUACAUCCCCCAAAGUCCCCAGAUACAGGAGACCAUUAACAGAAGGGCAAAGGCUGGCAGUGUUACAGAAGCCGUGAGGUACAGUGAGCCCUAGCAGGAAACACUUUCAAAUGUGCAAUUACAUUUGCUAAAGCUAUAGUUCAGUGAGUACAAGGAGAGUCAUAAAUAUCCACAGCUACAAAAGGCACAGGUGAACUAGAAGAAAAUUCAUAGAAAAUGUGUUUGUGAACACGUUGACUGAAUCAGAUUCAUAUUUCAGUCUCUUCAAAUUUGUCUCAGUUUGCUUUUUUCUCUUGCAAACAUUUGGAUCAUUGGUUUCUGUUCAUGCAGGUGAACUUUUUGUUCCUAGGAGAACACGUAAGUAUGUGCAAUUGCAUUAAUUUACAUGGGUUUCUCAGUAUUCAUGCAUCUAUGUGCAUUUGAGCUAAAUGUUGGUUCAUUCAUACAUGCACAUACACAUACAUAUCUGUUAUCUGCAUACCUUUCAAGGUGGGGAUACAAAACCACACACAGAGUCUUUCUCCUUUUCUACUUAGCUUUUUCUAUCCCUCCUCUUAAGAGAUUCAAACCUCAAGUGUUUAUUUUUCAGAUGGGCACUCUGUCUACAAAAGUUGCAAUUUCUGAUACUUACUGGAUGUACAGGCAUGGUACAAUCUGUGAACAUAGUAAAUAAGACAGCCCUUUCUGCAAAGAGUUUGUAUGUUAAAUAAAGUAAAUGAGGCCAUUUCAAUUUACAAAAAAAAGAAAAAGAAAAAUAUUAUCUCACAGUCCCACUCUGUUGUUAAAUUUUGAUUAAUCAAAAAAUUGGGUGCCAAAAAACUUCAGGAAAAGGAGAAAGGAGGGAAAAAAGGGGAAGUAAAAGUACAAUUAUAAGGUGAUAUGGUUAGUUUAAGUGUGUACAUAUGGGAGUUGAAAAAAAGAAUCAGCCAAUUAUAUGUCACUAGAAUAUCCAAUUAUUUAUGAUAACUCCACAUGAAUGUAUUAUAUAAUAUCCUACAUUUUAGAGGCAUCUAAAGCAGUAGCUAUGGAAGAAGAGCAACAUUGAAGGGACUGCAAAUUGAUGCCAUCACAAAAGGUUGAUGGAUUGAUUCAAUUAAUCAGUAAGUCAUUUCUAAGAGAUCUGCAGGGAUUUAUUUACCAAACACUUACAUUGUUUAUUUUGCUCUCUGGAGGGUAUGUGUACUGUCAUUUUUCUUCAUUAUUCUUCUUGUUUCAUUCAUCAAUUUCUGACAAAUAUUUUUAUGCCGAUAUGUGGCAUGUUGCGAAUGUAAAUUUUCCACAUUUACUGAUUUAAAGCAAUACACUCCAAGCUUCCAGUAGCUGAGAACUUUUGUUUAUUUCCCUCAGGUCCUGAGAAAUUCUAGCCAUCUAUAAUUAAUAUACAGACAUGUUUUCCAUUAAUCUUUGCUUUCACUGUCUGCUCAACAUGACAGGGAUGUAAGGUCUUGUCUAGUAUAAUAUGUGGGCACCUCCUUAAAUUUUAGAAAGAAACUUACUAUGAAAAGCCUUUUGAACACUGUUGACGCUAAAUAAAAUAACUUUUCCAUCUUUGAUUUGGCCUUAUAUUUUGUAGUUCAAAUCCAGGAGAACAAUGCAAGAAUGUUUUAAGAAUGCCAGCAGUUUCACCAUGUUUUCCAUAGCAUUAGAUAUCUUUUCUAUUUUAAUAUUGUCAUAGCAUAUGCUUCAAAGUCAAUACAUAGGAAUGGCAAAAUUAGAUCAAAUUACCAAUUACAAAAUGGCAGAUGCUGGGCACAACAGAGGUCUGUGAAGGAAGAAGACCCGAAACAGAAUGGAAACCAUGCUUUGACUUGGACAAAUAUUUUUAUUUUAAACUAUCAGGAACACUGAAUUUCUAAAAAAAUUAAAACAAAAACAUUUCUCAUGUUCAUUGCAUACACAUUUGCAGCAAGGGUGUGAUUUUCAGGCGUCAUCAGCACUGGCCAAAAUCUGACCUCACUAUAGGUGGCUAGGAGCAUUUGCAAAAUGUAUGGUAUGGUGAUAUAAAAAUUUUAUCUAUACUCAUUUGUGCUGACCUACAUAACUUGCUCAUUGCCACAUUUGUACCAGUAAAAUCUUUCUAUCA